rnacentral:pre_miRNA from 1 species
AUUGUACUCUCCAAGGUUUUCUGAUUUAUUGGAACUCAGAAGCUUGGUGCAGUACAAAGG